rnacentral:rRNA from 1 species
UAAGGAAUAUUGGUCAAUGGACGCAAGUCUGAACCAGCCAUGCCGCGUGAAGGAUGAAGGUCCUCUGGAUUGUAAACUUCUUUUAUCUGGGACGAAAACGGGAUUUUUAUCUCAAUUGACGGUACCAGAGGAAUAAGCACCGGCUAACUCCGUGCCAGCAGCCGCGGUAAUACGAAGGAUGCAAGCGUUAUCCGGAAUUAUUGGGUUUAAAGGGUGCGUAGGCGGACUAAUAAGUCAGUGGUGAAAGCCUGCAGCUUAACUGCAGAAUUGCCAUUGAUACUGUUAGUCUUGAGUACAGUUGAGGUAGGCGGAAUGUGUCAUGUAGCGGUGAAAUGCUUAGAUAGGACACAGAACACCGAUUGCGAAGGCAGCUUGCUAAGCUGUAACUGACGCUGAGGCACGAAAGCGUGGGGAGCAAACA